rnacentral:rRNA from 1 species
UACGUAGGUGGCAAGCGUUGUCCGGAAUUAUUGGGCGUAAAGCGCGCGCAGGCGGUCCCUUAAGUCUGAUGUGAAAGCCCACGGCUCAACCGUGGAGGGUCAUUGGAAACUGGGGGACUUGAGUACAGAAGAGGAAAGCGGAAUUCCACGUGUAGCGGUGAAAUGCGUAGAGAUGUGGAGGAACACCAGUGGCGAAGGCGGCUUUCUGGUCUGUAACUGACGCUGAGGCGCGAAAGCGUGGGGAGCAAACAGGA